rfam:Oryza sativa Japonica Group DNA, chromosome 11, cultivar: Nipponbare, complete sequence.
AGCCCACCACAUGUGGCUCGCAUGCUUAAAUAACUAACGGCAUAAUUAGAUCACUUGAUGACGACGUAUAUCGGUGUUCGCUAUAUAUACUAUCUACUGGUAAGUAUAUCUUUAAUAUACUUACCAGUAGAUAGUAUAUAUAGUGAACACCGAUAUGCGUCAUCAUCAAGUGAUUUAAUUAUGCCGUUAGUUAAGCAUGCGAGCCACAUGUGGUGAGCUUACG